rnacentral:tRNA from 1 species
GCCACUAUAGCUCAGGGGUUAGAACACUGGUCUCGUAAACUAGGGGUCGUGAGUUCAAUUCUCACUGGUGGCU